rnacentral:rRNA from 1 species
GACAGAGGGUGCAAACGUUGCUCGGAUUUAUUGGGCGUAAAGAGCGUGUAGGCGGCCAGACAGGUCUGCUGUGAAAACUCGAGGCUCAACCUCGAGAUGUCGGCGGAAACCGUCUGGCUAGAGUCCGGAAGAGGAGAGUGGAAUUCCUGGUGUAGCGGUGAAAUGCGCAGAUAUCAGGAAGAACACCUAUGGCGAAGGCAGCUCUCCGGGACGGUACUGACGCUGAGACGCGAAAGCGUGGGGAGCAAACAGG